rnacentral:rRNA from 1 species
AGUGAACGCUGGCGGUAGGCCUAACACAUGCAAGUCGAACGGCAGCACAGUAAGAGCUUGCUCUUACGGGUGGCGAGUGGCGGACGGGUGAGGAAUACAUCGGAAUCUACUUUUUCGUGGGGGAUAACGUAGGGAAACUUACGCUAAUACCGCAUACGACCUACGGGUGAAAGCAGGGGAUCUUCGGACCUUGCGCGAUUGAAUGAGCCGAUGUCGGAUUAGCUAGUUGGCGGGGUAAAGGCCCACCAAGGCGACGAUCCGUAGCUGGUCUGAGAGGAUGAUCAGCUACACUGGAACUGAGACACGGUCCAGACUCCUACGGGAGGAAGCAGUGGGGAAUAUUGGGCGAUGGGCGCAAGCCUGAUCCAGCAAUACCGCGUGGGUGAUGAAGGACUUCGGGUUGGAAAGCCCUUUUGUUGGGAAAGAAAAGCAGCAGGUUAAUACCCCGCUGUUCUGACGGUACCCAAAGAAUAAGCACCGGCUAACUUCGUG